ensembl:lncRNA
UUUUUUUUGUUUGUUUGUUUGUUUGUUUUUAGGGCCACACCUGCGGCAUAUGGAAGUUCCCAGGCUAGGGGUCCAAUUGGAGCUACAGCUGCUGGCCUACACCACAGCCGCAGCAGCCCAGGAUCCGAACCUCAUCUUCAACCUGCACCGCAGCUCACGGCAAUGCUGGAUGCUCAACCCACUGAGUGAGGCCAGGAAGCAAACCUGCAUUCUCAUGGAUACCACUAGUCAGGUUCAAAACCUGCUAAGCAAGAACAGGAACUCUGAAAUGUAAGUUUAAAAGGGUUAAAAUGGUGGUGGGGGGGAACCACCAAGUGAAAUGAGUAAUUAUGGGACAUUCUAAUUCUAUCAUCUCCUAAAUUCAUAAAAACCAAUAUUUUUGACAAGGAAAAAAGAGAUUACAGGUAUAAUAGAGAAAGUAAGUAAAAACUCGGAGUCCCAAUUCGAACUGAGAGUAUUCGUAUGAACUCAUGAGAUAUUUUAUCUAUAAUGUGUGUGCCUAUAGAAAGGGCUAAGAUACCUAUGUCUAGCUGUCUACUGAAAAGCCUACAAACAGUGACUGACUCAGGAUCCCUAGUAUAUAGAUGAUGAUCUUGAAGUGCCAUUUCCUUCUAAAAGAAACCAGAGUUUCUUGAAGAAAUGACAAUUUCAGAUUUGGAAUAGAAUUUUUUCAAGGUAUCAGACAACAAGAAAACUAUGAAGGACUAGUUGGGUCAUAACAAAAGGACAGGAUUGAAUAAUGAUAAUAACAACUGCAAUGAAAUGAAACCCAUCAAAUGUUUAAAUUCAUGACCUCUUGCUCAUAUUAGAUUUUAAAACAUAGUUGUCUUCAGAAGGAACCAAUUCACUUUCUCAAAAAUUGGUAUAUAGAUGGAAAGAAUCCAAUAUUGAAACUGCCUUUCUUAAAGGAAUUGUACUGCUGUGUAUACAAAUGAUAGAUAAGGGACUAAUAUUCCAACUAAUAAGUAAAAAAGACAUUAUCAAAUUAGAAUACCAUGCAACCUUCAAUAAACAUAAAUAGGCAUCAAGUAUCAACAAGUGCUGAAAACAUAAAGAGGAACAAAGAGACAUUCCACCCUUCCUAUGGUCUUGCCAAAUAUCACCUAGAGAAUUAUCCUCUCCAGCCAUAUCACCCUGAACAAGUGCCUGAUCUCCUCUGAUCACGUAAAUGAGCAAGACUACAUUAUAGUGUCAAAGAAUAUGGAUUUAUGAAAAAACUAACACAAGGAGGCGACUAGUAUAAAAGUCAGAAAAAUAGCUACUAAUGAGAGGACAAAAGCAGUUGUGAUUGGGAUAAGCAAAUUCUUGGCAUGGCUAGCUAGCAUAGUUCUCCACCCUACCCUGGGUGGUAUCAGAUUUUAAUAAUUCAUUAAGCUAUACAUUUGGUAUAUGUGUUCUUUUCUGUUUGAUUUCAUAAUAAAAAGUCAUUUUUUAAUAAAAACAUUUUGUUAAAUAACAAUAAAAGCAAAAGGAACAGUGCCUGGCACACAGCAAGACAGGUGGUGAUCAGAGUUGGUGACCAGCUACUUGUACUAUCUUAAAUAGUUACUUAACCUCUUCAGUUUCCUUGAUUGGGUUUAAAAUAUCUGAUAGGAUUAUGAAGAGGUCAAAAGGAAAUAAAUACAUAGUAUUCCAUAAUUAGUAGAUCCUUUCCACAGCCUCUCAACAUCCAGAGGGAGUUAUUUAUUGCGUCAGACAUACCUCAGUCAUAGCACGUUCCUCUUACACUUUUCACCUGGUCAUUCAAGUUGAUCAGAAUGAAAUGAUCACCCAGUGAGCCUCACGUCUGAAACUGCAUCUUCAUCUAGGUUUCAAAAAGAUAAACAGGCCCACAUCUUAAACAUUCAUCUCCUAUUAAGAAUGAUUUGUGUUAUCCUCAGAGCAGGUAUUCUUGGUGUUAAUGACUGACUACAGGGAGCUGCAUCUACUGAAUCAACUGCUAAUGGACUCCAGUGCUCACCACCACGUGCCUUCACCCUUGCCUUCUCUCCCCUCGUCUUUCUUUGUUUUGUUGAAACAUAUACCUGAGAGCCCAACUCUAUUAUCAUCUAGCAUCAAAUCUGAUUCUGACUUCAAAGGUAUUCAAACAAUAUUCUCAUUGGCAAGGGUACUCUCAGACAACUGGUACUGAAACACAAAGACAAGGAGAACAACUAUCAAUUUCACCUGUGACAAAGCCCUUCUUUUCAGAGGUCUAUGCUGUGAAAUUAAUGUUACAGAUAGUUUGCAGCAGCAUUUUCCCCACUACGGGCUAUGCCAGGACACAGGUCUGUGAGUCACCAGAAGAGACCCAGUGCUUCCCAGGACCAAAGCAGAUGGUGCGGCUUGCUUUAAGCAGUGUCAUAAGAUACCUAAAGUAAAACUGUGGGAAAAGGAGUUGCGGGGUAGGAGUUGGUUCAUACACACCACAGAAAACCAAGCACAGAGAAGCCAAACAUAGUUCUGUUUGCACUGUCUAGGUUUCCCAAGAGCCCUUUGGUAACUUACCCCUUAUAGGUUUGGAGCCCCUGGCUCAUGCCCCAUACAUUAAAAUGUAGUUGCUUUUCACUACUUUUUUGGGGACAAGCUGGGAAUAAAGCAUGGCUGGUAGCUGUUCUUUUUUGAGUCACCUCAAAACCUGUAAUUAGCUUUCUCAAAAGCACAUAUUUCACUUUACUGCAAUAAAUGGAAUGUGCAAUGCUUUCAAAGUCUCUAUUGUCUGUUAAAUGCAAAAGCGCCAUCCCAAAAAUAUACCAAUACACUGUUUAACGUUCCUAAGAAGCGAAUCUAAGGAAACAGAAUUAGGAUCGGAUCUUACCUCGAUUAAAUCAUCCUGCCCCAGGAGAGGUUACAUAAAAGGUUAGAAUAGGCCACUAAGCAGAAGCUGCGGGCAAAACCCUAGCCAGCCAGCCACCUUUUUCCCAAGGUGAGGUGGGGAAGGCCCGGGUCUACUUGACAAUACCAAAAGUAAAAACAAAACAAAACCUCAUGCAGAAGAAGAUUGAGGCCAAAAGAGGUAAUGCCCGCACAGUCUUUACCAUUAUUAUGUAUAGAAAAUAAAGUGGUACAGAAACCCUUCUACAUUUCAACAUUUCCAUCUCACUGAUUUUCUUAAUAAAAUCAUAUUAGAUUCCACAUAAAGAGACUCUCCAACUCUGCAAAGAUUACUUAAACCAGAGAAGGGAUUACUCACCUACCCCUUUGUGUAUCCCCCACCUUCUGCUACGAGCCUUCACUCGCCAAGUUACCUUCCCAGGCACCUAGAUUCUGAAACGUGGGGCGAGACCCCCCGGCCAGCGCAUGGGGACGGAGUAACUACCAACAACUAUCCAGAAUCCAGGCUGCGCCAGGUAUCCGUCCAAGCUUCACACUCACUACCUCAAUUAACCUUCUCAACCACCUUGUAAGGAAAGAUUUACCAGCUGUCGUCUACAACUGAAGAAACUGAUGCGCUGAGAUGUUAAAUGAGGAGCCAAAGAUCACAAGGGGCGAGGAGCCAGGACUAGGACCAGGUCGAUCAGGUUCCCCCCACCCGCCCCCAAACUCCUUAUCCAGGGAUUUUUAACUGGCGCCAACCCGUCCCAGGCAGCUCCUCUCUGGGGACCCCAGUAAGGGUCAGUAUGACCACUCGCAUUGCGCAGACGAGACCAUUUCCGGUGGAAGCUCAAGCAGGGGCUCCAGGCAAAGCCUCUGUGAACCCCGAAGGCCGCUUACCUUCCUCAGCUGCCGCCUCUCU